rnacentral:tRNA from 1 species
GACUCGUAGCUAAGUGGAUAAAGUGAUGGCAUUUGAAGGGAAAGGUACUGGAUUCGAGUCCCAGAGUGAACA